UACGUAGGAGGCGAGCGUUGUCCGGAGUUACUGGGCGUAAAGGGUGCGCAGGCGGCCAAGUGUGUUAGGCGUGAAAGCCCGGGGCUUAACCCCGGAAUUGCACCUAAAACUACAUGGCUAGAGCAUUGGAGAGGGUAGCGGAAUUCACGGUGUAGCAGUGAAAUGCGUAGAUAUCGUGAGGAACACCAGAGGCGAAGGCGGCUACCUGGACAAUUGCUGACGCUCAGGCACGAAAGCGUGGGGAGCAAACAGG
rnacentral:rRNA from 1 species